GACGAACGCUGGCGGCGUGCUUAACACAUGCAAGUCGAACGGAAAGGCUCCAGCUUGCUGGAGUACUCGAGUGGCGAACGGGUGAGUAACACGUGGGUAAUCUGCCCUGCACUCUGGGAUAAGCCUGGGAAACUGGGUCUAAUACUGGAUAUGACCUUUCUCCUUAUGGGGUUUGGUGGAAAGUUUUUCGGUGUAGGAUGAGCCCGCGGCCUAUCAGCUUGUUGGUGGGGUGAUGGCCUACCAAGGCGACGACGGGUAGCCGGCCUGAGAGGGUGAUCGGCCACAUUGGGACUGAGAUACGGCCCAGACGCCUACGGGAGGCAGCAGUGGGGAAUAUUGCACAAUGGGCGGAAGCCUGAUGCAGCGACGCCGCGUGAGGGAUGACGGCCUUCGGGUUGUAAACCUCUUUCAGCAGGGACGAAGCGUAAGUGACGGUACCUGCAGAAGAAGCACCGGCUAACUAUGU
rnacentral:rRNA from 1 species